AAAAAGUUUAAUAAUUUUAUUCAUAUGUUUCAAUUAUUGUUUUUCAUUAGAAACGCUGUUAUUUAUUUUAUAACAUAACCUUAUAGUGCUCAUUUGGGAACCUUAUAUCAGUUAUAACAUAUCCUUAUACCAUGUAUAAGUUUUGUGUUAUGACCAAAAUUUAUAAGUUUUAACUAAUACAUUUUAUAAGUUCUUGUUUUGAAAUAUUUACUCAAUCAUAACCAAAACGUGUCGAUCUAUUUUCAACGGAGGACGCCAUUGCGGCAAGUUCUAUUUCGCGCUAAUCGAAAAUAUGAUUUAGAGGUGUAUCGGUAUCAAAAGCAAAAAGUGUUUAGUAAUUAUGAGAUGAAGCCGGCAGAACCAUAAUCGGUAUCAGCACUCACGAAAGCGCCGGCUGUAUCGUUGCUGCCAUCCGCCCCGCAUAGUUCCAUCUCCAUGGCUAGCGUACACCGGUAGUUCCUCCGCCAAAUCAAAGAGUCAAAUCCAAAAGCAAUCGUUUAGGCCCGAUCUUGCCAGUAAGUGGACGGAAACACCUGAAGCAGGAAGGUGAGAACUUGAGAGAGAACGCAAUCCUGCUGCAGAUUGUCGAAUCUGAACUAAUCAAGGUGUAAUACUUUGUGACUUAAAUGACCUUUAUGUAAUAUUAUACUAGUGGUAAAUAAAAUCAAUUCAAUAAAAUAACAAAUUCUUUUUUUCAUAAAAAAACAAAACGAAAAUCCGUUUCGGGUACCCAUUAGUUUGAAUAAUAGAAAAUAUAAUAAUACUGAAUGAAUCAUAUUAUUUUCCGCCAUGAAAUGUAUAAGACAAAACUUAUACUAUUGAUUAUCCGUCCUUUAUUAACAGUAUAAGCUAUCCUAAUGUGAUUUAUUAGAAAAACGAAAUGGCAAAAAUGUAUAACAUUUUCUUAUACAUUCAAUAAGGAAAUUUCUUUUCGUGUAGUGUCGUGCUCACUGGAAGCAUUGAACGUGUCCGCGUCUUUUUUAAUAAAAAAAAUAAAUAAAAUAAAUAAAUAACGUCCUCACUUGGAUAAACCUGCUUUCCAGCAAGUGUUCUAUAAGUAUUGUCGUCGCGGUUGAAACCCGAAGUUUCUCCACACGCGACAAUCAAUUUUUCUCCAAACCCAUACGUGAAAUCUAACGUCGGACGUAGUGCGCUGGGCAGCGGAUCUGGCCCUCUAUCCAGCGCACUUUGCCCGACGUACGUCCGACGCCCGGUUUGGGAGAAACAUCGAUUUUCGCGUGUCAAAAAAUCCGAUUUUCAACUGCACGAACAAUACUUCUUCAGGUUUUAAUAGACAGCUUUCCUUGCCAAUAUCUACUGUACUCAAAUUUAAAACGAAAACUAAAAAAAAUAUGUCAAGUGAUUUUGUAUUUGAUUAUACAGAGUAGAAUAACAUGACCCAAGCAACAAUAAUAUGUAUUGUUAUUAAUUUGUGACGAAUUGUUUUUAAGUGGAUUUGAGAAAUAAACUCUUUUUUAAUAUUUAAAAAGUCCAUGAGAACUUUGCAGGCACUUUUCCAAAUGUAUAAAAACAACUCAUUUUUUUUACUAAUAGUAACUUUAAAAUAUUAAAGAACAAUUGAAAAACAAUCGAAUCAAUUAGUCACUAAUAAAGCUAAUGUUCACUUAUUGUACGAACUAUAUCGGAUUGAUUUCUAUUGGAAAAAGUAACCAUAUAUCUACUGUGUGUUUUAUUGUGAACAAUAAAAGCAGUCAUAUAUUAAUAAUAUUUACCAUGUAAUGAAUGGUCAUUUUUUAU